rnacentral:rRNA from 1 species
UACGUAGGGUGCAAGCGUUGUCCGGAAUUAUUGGGCGUAAAGAGCUCGUAGGCGGCCUGUCGCGUCGGCUGUGAAAACCCGGGGCUCAACCCCGGGCCUGCAGUCGAUACGGGCAGGCUAGAGUCCGGCAGGGGAGACUGGAAUUCCUGGUGUAGCGGUGAAAUGCGCAGAUAUCAGGAGGAACACCGGUGGCGAAGGCGGUUCUCUGGGCAUUACCUGACGCUGAGGAGCGAAAGUGUGGGGAGCGAACAGG